rnacentral:rRNA from 1 species
GUGGGGAAUAUUAGGCAAUGGGCGAAAGCCUGACCUAGCAACGCCGCGUGAAGGAAGAAGGCCUUCGGGUUGUAAACUUCUUUUAUGAGGGACGAAGGACGUGACGGUACCUCAUGAAUAAGCCACGGCUAACUACGUGCCAGCAGCCGCGGUAAUACGUAGGUGGCGAGCGUUGUCCGGAUUUACUGGGUGUAAAGGGCGCGUAGGCGGACUGGCAAGUCAGAUGUGAAAUACAGGGGCUCAACCCCUGAACUGCAUUUGAAACUGUUGGUCUUGAAUAUCGGAGAGGCAAGCGGAAUUCCUAGUGUAGCGGUGAAAUGCGUAGAUAUGAGGAGGAACACCAGUGGCGAAGGCGGCUUGCUGGACGACAACUGACGCUGAGGCGCGAAAGCGUGGGGAGCAAACAGGAUUAGAUACCCGAGUAGUCC